GGUUUGUAGCUCAGUGGUAGAGCACUCGCUCCCUACAUGUGAGGCACUGGGUUCAAUCCUCAGCACCA
rnacentral:tRNA from 1 species